rnacentral:rRNA from 1 species
GGGCAUUCCAGGCGAAGCUGACCGAGCACGCCGCGUUGAGUGAUGAAGGUCUUCGGAUCGUAAAACUCUGUUGUUAGGGAAGAACAAGUGUGAGAGUAACUCUGUACUUCUUGGCCGGACCCUAUCCGGAAGCCCCGGGUAACUUCGUGGCCGCCGCCGCGGGAAUAA